AUCCUGGUGGCAGAGAAGGUGGCAGGUGCUGACACAUUCUUCUCUGGGUUACAGCUGCUUUUGGUAUUGGUUCUCUUGUCUGGCAUAUGGAUGUAGCUGUCACUUCUGUUCUGCAGGGCAGUCUGGAUCCUGGGGACCUCCUCCGUUAACUGGAUGAUUCUGCAUGCCCUACCCUGGAGACGCCCCGCCCCCAUGGACUAUGAGGCAUGUCCACCUCCUGAACCCUGGUGGCCCUGAGGCCACCCGGAACCCCUCCACCUGCAACACUUGGUCUUGGGCCAAGGUGCAGAGGCGGUACCACAGACCAUUGUGAUGCAAGGGGAAUGUCUGUUGCCAUUACCACAUUCCUCAAGUUUCCCAGGAUCUCAUCUUUGUCAUUUCCCCCAUCAUGGGUGGGUACAGGCAUCUCUUGUGGAGAAGGAAUGGGGCCGUAUGCAGCAAAUCAGACAUAGCGCUUCAGCAGAAAUGCCCUGUACACAGUCCACAUGCUGGGAUCUGUGAGGCAUGAGGCACAACGUAACGUAUGUCCAUCUAGUUGUGCCCCCAGCCAUCCAUAGUUGUUCGCUGAGUGAUGAAUACAUCUGAAUCAGGGCUUUUAGGAGUCUUCAAGUUAUAAGGGAUGGUUCUUCAAGUUCUUCUUGGGGAUCACUGGAGGCAUGUGGGACACCCUGUGCAUGUAAUUUGGGAUCUGACUGGGGCAAAGAGUUUAAGUUGUCGGAAGUAUGAGGGGAGGGUUUUUUGUUUUGUUUUUGGUCUCCAAACAGUCUACUCAAGUCAGAAUAAACCUCCAUCCCUUCUAGGGCUUUUUGCAGGUCCAGGAGCAGGUGUCACACCCAAGAGUGACAUCGACACUGGCUCUACCAAAACUGCCGAGAAACACAAGGCUAUUUUGUAUGCAAGAGUCCUGGUCCUUUCCCAGGAUUGCCUUGCAGGCUGUACCCCAUGGACCACCCUUCACCACCAGUCAUGGGCUAUAGGCCACAUCCCCCUCCUCCGCCUACUCUAUUUGUUAAGAUGACCUGAACUGGAUGAAUGGCUGGUAAAGUAUAUUCAUCUUCUUCA